rnacentral:rRNA from 1 species
UACGGAGGGGGCUAGCGUUGUUCGGAAUUACUGGGCGUAAAGCGCACGUAGGCGGCUUUGUAAGUUAGAGGUGAAAGCCCAGGGCUUAACCCUGGAAUUGCCUUUAAGACUGCAUCGCUAGAAUUGUGGAGAGGUAAGUGGAAAUUCCGAGUGUAGAGGUGAAAUUCGUAGAUAUUCGGAAGAACACCAGUGGCGAAGGCGACUUACUGGACACAUAUUGACGCUGAGGUGCGAAAGCGUGGGGAG